rnacentral:rRNA from 1 species
UACGUAGGGAGCAAGCGUUGUUCGGAAUUACUGGGCGUAAAGGGCGCGUAGGCGGCGACUCAAGUUAGAUGUGAAAGUCCUGGGCUUAACCUGGGGACUGCAUUUGAUACUGGGUUGCUUGAAUUCGGGAGAGGAUAGCGGAAUUCCCAGUGUAGAGGUGAAAUUCGUAGAUAUUGGGAAGAACACCGGUGGCGAAGGCGGCUAUCUGGACCGACAUUGACGCUGAGGCGCGAAAGCGUGGGGAGCAAACAGG